GUUUUAGUUGUUGCUCUAGAGGGUAUCUAAAAUUCUGUGAUACAAACUCUGAUAGUACAUGGAAUACUGUCCAUGGUAACAAGAUGCACUUUUAUUUUGAUGUGGAAAUAUACAUCUUCCCUCUUCUCAAUCCUGGGUAGACGGGUGCCUUCCUCUGGCAGACGUGCAGGUUCUCUAUGCAGUGCCUUUGGGAAAAUAUGUUUCCCUGAGAACAGUUCUCAGCACUCUUUCUGAUAGAGAAAACUGAUCCCUUAGCACAGCCUGGUGGCUGUUAGUGAGACAGCAAGCAAAAUAUAAAAUCACACAAUUAUAUGUGAGAGAGGAAGUGAUUGUAUUACUGCUGUAGGUGUGAUGGUCUCACUUUCCUGUAGAGCAAGUUCUAGAUGAGGUGAGAGUGGUUGUGGGAAAAUGGAGAUGCUGUCUGGCACACCAGCCCACUGUAGAUCUGAAAUAAUAACAGUAAAUUCAAGUGUAGUCUGAAGGGGAAAAAUGUUCUGUGCAGAGGUAGCUGCCAGAAAGAGAGGGAAAAUAUAUCUGAGUGGGGAAAGGAAAUGAUUGCAUUCAGAAUGGAGACAAAACCUGUCAUUAAACUCAUGUAUCAGAGUGGAUGAUCUUUAUUAUCUGCUUAUUUAACAUCAGUGAAUUUCAGCUAGCUCUGUAGACCACCCUAAAAGAUCAGGAUUGAAAAGUCACAGGUUUUUUUUUGUCAGAAAUGUUCGUACGGCAAUGUCAAGGACAAUGGUAUGAAGUAUCUGUGCAGCCUAGUAAAACCUAAAGCCAUGGCCAUGAUAUGGCACAUGAAGACAGAUGAAAAUUUGGAGGCAUCUCCACUGUCAUAGCCCUUGAAAAGGACACCAUCUUCCAAUCAUCUACUGGAUUAUUUUUGUUCUUACAGAUCUGCUGCUAAAGUACAGGGUAUGUUUCUAAGCUGUGCAUUUUCUUAACUCCUAUUUUUAUUGCAGGCAGUAAAUUCUUGGCUAACACUUAAGUUAAUAAAUUAUAGCAGUGGUGAAAAUGGCCCAGGUGGUGGUGUGCUUUUCUGUGAGAUUUGAGAAUUUCACUCUACAAAUGCCAGAAAGAGCCAUGAAUAAAAUUCCAUACUGCUGCAAAACACAUAUAUCACCUUUCCAGAUUGAUGUGAUAUUUCAUCAAGAGCAUCAUUUAUUUGCUGGGAAAUUAUUUAUUCUAGUAAACUCGCUGAUGACAAAUUGAAGAAUUGCAGGUGGCUACACCUUAUGUGUUGGUUCCAAAAUAGGUUUCUAAUACAAGAAAAAGGAUGAAUUAUAACGCUGCCGCUGGCUGGAAGAAGCAGGUGAAAGUACUCAAGGCUGAGGCAGCAAGAAAACAUCUGCACUUUGGAGGCACAAAUGUCUUGAAAAUGGGGGCAGAUAUCCCCCAUAUUAAACAAAGGAAGGGAAAUGGGGGAUUCAGAAGAGUGAAGAAGAUAGAGUUUGUGUGGCAGCACUAAUCAUACAAAAAUUUGAGCAUGAAAUAACCCCUGGGAACAAAGUCCAGAUAAUAUGAUUUUGAUUAAAUCACUCCUAUCCAGUGAUUCAACCCCAUGUGUAGUAUGAUGGUAAGUGCCUACUGCAGAGAGCUGCUUUGUGAAUUAAUUCCAGCAGUCUGCUUCACUAACCAAACAGGGGGUGACAUGGGGUUGCCAAUGUAGACUGUGACAGUCAAUGAUGGCACUGAUUUUUUCAUAUCUGGAGGACUGAUGACGAUUUACUGGGUGAAAGGUGUAUAGCAAGAGGAAAGUUAGAGAUUUCCUUGUCAAGCAUCCCUUCUGUCAAGAGGAAUUUCAUCUUAGACGUGAUGAUAACCACCAUUUCCUAACUGAAGAGUUAGAUUCCAUAAACCAGAUAUUCCUUGUGUGACUUUGUCUCUUUUCAAGCCAGUAUAUGUCUGUGUGCAAUCGGAGAUGCGUUUGCACAAAACAUGCAACCAUAUGAGUGUAAACCAGUCCAGCCUCAGGAAUUCUUUGCCUGCUUCACUGCAAAUUAACACAUUGGGAUUCAGGUAUUCUGAAAAUAAUCUACAACCACAGUGGUGCAAAUACUGCUGUGGUAACCUUGGUUGUUUCUCUGCCCAAAUGCAGCCACAGUCCCCUAAAGGGUGUUUCUGUCCCUCUUGCCACUUGUCAUUUACUGCUUUUUUGAACAGCAACAACAAAAAUUAGGUACAGGGUCUGUGUUUUGAAAAAAUAAUAUGAAAAAGAUUACCUAUAGUUAUCCAAAGGCAAUUCAAUAAUUUUAGUGGUGACUCACAUCUAAGUUAUUUGAUUUUCUUGGAACUGAUAUUAAUGUUCUGCUGAGUUCUCUUGAGAGCCUUUUCCUACAA
ensembl:lncRNA